CAGUGGGCAUGGUGGGAGUGGGUUGACUGUUGGAGAUCUUAGUAGUCUUUUCAACCUAAUGAUUCUAUGAAUUUACAAUUCAGUGAUAAGUUAGAUAGUAGUGUAGUUAUUCGCAUGACUAAACAGCAUGUCACCUGCAGGGGAGGAACAGUUGUAUGUCAGCAGACUGAAGAGGUAUUUGGCAGAGUUUGAAUCAGCUCUAAAGUUGAGCAGUAGCCAAGAGCCGUCCUUCCAGCCCCACACUGUGCAGACCUGGGAGAAAGGAGGAAGUGGUCCUCAUCCUAAGGAAUUUAAACUGUGAGAAAAGUGGUGAUGAGAUACAAGUCAUGCUAAUUUCAAGUGUUAAUGAAGCAGAAUCCAUCCCGAUGUGAAGCCUCUGAAGAGGGAUGCUGCAUCUUCGACGGAAGGUGUUAUGAGUGCAGAUUAGUUAGACAAGUGCUGGAGUGAAUGCAUAAGCAGUGAUUUUGCAUAAUGAGGAUGGAGGCAAUGGAGCAAAUACCCUGAGAUGUUCUGUCAGACAUUGCCAUGCAACUCCUUCUCUCUGGCAGACGUGUUGCUCU
rnacentral:lncRNA from 1 species